rnacentral:rRNA from 1 species
GAUGAACGCUAGCUACAGGCUUAACACAUGCAAGUCGAGGGGAAACGAUAUUGGAAGCUUGCUUCCGAUAGGCGUCGACCGGCGCACGGGUGAGCAACGCGUAUCCAACCUGCCCAUCACUUGGGGAUAACCUUGCGAAAGUAAGACUAAUACCCAAUGAUAUCUCUAGAAGACAUCUGAAGGAGAUUAAAGAUUCAUCGGUGAUGGAUGGGGAUGCGUCUGAUUAGCUUGUUGGCGGGGUAACGGCCCACCAAGGCGACGAUCAGUAGGGGUUCUGAGGGGAAGGUCCCCCACAUUAGGACUGAGACACGGUCCAAACUCCUACGGGAGGCAGCAGUGAGGAAUAUUGGUAAAUGGGCGAGAGCCUGAACCAGCCAAGUAGCGUGCAGGAUGACGGCCCUAUGGGUUGUAAACUGCUUUUAUAAGGGAAUAAAGUGAGUCUCGUGAGACUUUUUGCAUGUACCUUAUGAAUAAGGACCGGCUAAUUCCGUGCCAGCCGCCGCCGUAA